rnacentral:rRNA from 1 species
CCUGUGAGGGUUGCUGGAGGUAUCAGAAGUGCGAAUGCUGACAUAAGUAACGAUAAAGCGGGUGAAAAGCCCGCUCGCCGGAAGACCAAGGGUUCCUGUCCAACGUUAAUCGGGGCAGGGUGAGUCGACCCCUAAGGCGAGGCCGAAAGGCGUAGUCGAUGGGAAACGGGUUAAUAUUCCCGUACUUGGUGUUACUGCGAAGGGGGGACGGAGAAGGCUAUGUUGGCCGGGCGACGGUUGUCCCGGUUUAAGCGUGUAGGUGUGUGUUCCAGGUAAAUCCGGUUCACUUUAACACUGAGGCGUGACGACGAGGCACUACGGUGCUGAAGCAACAAAUGCCCUGCUUCCAGGAAAAGCCUCUAAGCAUCAGGUAACAUCAAAUCGUACCCCAAACCGACACAGGUGGUCAGGUAGAGAAUACCAAGGCGCUUGAGAGAACUCGGGUGAAGGAACUAGGCAAAAUGGUGCCGUAACUUCGGGAGAAGGCACGCUGACAC